rnacentral:rRNA from 1 species
GGACGAACGCUGGCGGCGUGCCUAAUACAUGCAAGUAGAACGCACAGUUUAUACCGUCGCUUGCUACACCAUAAACUGUGAGUUGCGAACGGGUGAGUAACGCGUAGGUAACCUGCCUGGUAGCGGGGGAUAACUAUUGGAAACGAUAGCUAAUACCGCAUAAUAUUGAUUAUUGCAUGAUAAUUGAUUGAAAGAUGCUAUUGCAUCACUACCAGAUGGACCUGCGUUGUAUUAGCUAGUAGGUGAGGUAACGGCUCACCUAGGCGACGAUACAUAGCCGACCUGAGAGGGUGAUCGGCCACACUGGGACUGAGACACGGCCCAGACUCCUACGGGAGGCAGCAGUAGGGAAUCUUCGGCAAUGGACGAAAGUCUGACCGAGCAACGCCGCGUGAGUGAAGAAGGUUUUCGGAUCGUAAAGCUCUGUUGUAAGAGAAGAACGGGUGUGAGAGUGGAAAGUUCACACUGUGACGGUAUCCUACCAGAAAGGGACGGCUAACUACGUG